rnacentral:rRNA from 1 species
GACGAACGCUGGCGGCGUGCUUAACACAUGCAAGUCGAGCGGUAAGGCCCUUUCGGGGGUACACGAGCGGCGAACGGGUGAGUAACACGUGGGUGACCUGCCCUUAGCUCUGGGAUAAGCCUGGGAAACUGGGUCUAAUACCGGAUAUGACUCCAUGACGCAUGUUGUGGGGUGGAAAGCCUUGUGCGGCUAGGGAUGGGCCCGCGGCCUAUCAGCUUGUUGGUGGGGUGAUGGCCUACCAAGGCGACGACGGGUAGCCGGCCUGAGAGGGCGACCGGCCACACUGGGACUGAGACACGGCCCAGACUCCUACGGGAGGCAGCAGUGGGGAAUCUUGCGCAAUGGGCGAAAGCCUGACGCAGCGACGCCGCGUGCGGGAAGAAGGCCUCGGUU